AAUGAAUAUUAUUAACUAAUAAUAAUGAUAGUAAUGAUAAUAAUCUCAACUCUGCAGAGCACUGAGUCCCUUCCUUCCCUGUUCUCAGAAUCCUGGCAGGGCUGAGGCGGCUCCAGACCCCAGGUUCCCUGCCUCCCCAUCCAGCUCUUUCCUGAAGACCACAGCACACGGCACAAAAGCACUCACUCAUCACUGCCCACUCCAACCCCCCGAGACUGACGGUUUCGACAGGGCUCGAAAAGGCUGCCCACAUCACACAACCCAACUCAGUCCUAUCUGCUACUGGACAUAAGGUAUACAGCCCUGUACACAUCACAAUGAACAAUGAGUAAACAAUCUCUGAACGGCCGUCUCUCCACCGUGCCAGACUCAGGAGUUGGCUGAGGCAGUCACUGGCCCUGCGGGCACCUAAUCCCCCUGCUCACUUAGAGAAGACAGCAGUGCCCCUGCCAACACCGAGCUGCCAGACAGAGAGAGAGAAGAAAAGUGCUUAACACAGCAGUAAAAAUGCCGUCACUAUGACUUCCUGGGGAGCUGUUUCCUUUUAGCACUGGUGCUCUGGCAAGAUGGGGCCCCUACCAAACCUAGAGCAGAAAAGUUGUGUGGACCAGAAUAGGCCCUGGGCAACCCAUGAGCCACAAAAUCUCAAUCCUGUGAAUAACCCUAACAGGAGAAUGGGACCGGUGAGACAAAACCAGGGGCAAAGCCACAAAUGCACCUUGACUGACUUCCUGGAAGCCCCACCCCCACACUUUGUGGCCUCUGAAACCCAAGCUGGCAAAAUGAAAAUGUCAUAUCUCACUACUGGAUAAAUAGAGAGCUCUUUCUCCCUCUUCUGGAGGACUAAACUGAGAAAAUAUUUGGUAAUCAAAACAAAAGGGGGAGAGUGGGGCUAGGGUUGGAUCAAGUGGUAGACCACAACAUACACGAGUUCUUGGACUCAGUCCCCAGUACUGAGAGAAAAAAAUAAAAGGAAAAGAAUUA